CCCCGUCCAACGCCUUCAACACUUCUCCCCCUUUCCUCCCCAUCUCGUGCUUCCUUUUUUUUGCCCAAACAAGACUUAACCUUGAGAAAAAAGACAAGAGAGGGAACAACCUUGGAGAAGGAACUUCAAGUGAAGAGAGCUCGAGUUUGGGAAGACUUCGCUAUGAAAUGGGUGUUUAAAUGCAAUCCAAACAUACGAAUCGUAUACAGAAUCUCAAGGCAUAUACCUCUUCAAUAUUACUUUGGUUUUUAUUUGUCUUUAAUUUAAUUUAGUAGUUAUUGUAUUCAUGUGAAACCAAACUCUUUGCUUUGCUUGUCUCGCUUUCUCUCUGCAAUCUUAUUUUUAUUUGUUA